ACGGCUACCACAUCUAAGGAAGGCAGCAGGCGCGCAAAUUACCCAAUGAAAACAGUUUCGAGGUAGUGACGAGAAAUAACAAUACAGGGCAUUAUGUGCUUUGUAAUUGGAAUGAUGGGAAUGUAAAACCCUCUCAGAGUAACAAUUGGAGGGCAAGUCUGGUGCCAGCAGCCGCGGUAAUUCCAGCUCCAAUAGUGUAUAUUAGAGUUGUUGCAGUUAAAAAGCUCGUAGUUGGAUUUCUGUCGUGAUUAUCCGAUACCGCCUGUACAGGUGUGCAUCUUGGAUGUAUCAUGACAUACUUCUGGACAUCUGACAGCUCUUAAUUGCGUUGUCAGGUACCUCCGGAACUUUUACUUUGAGAAAAAUAGAGUGUUUCAAGCAGGCUUGUAGCCCUGAAUACUGCAGCAUGGAAUAAUAAGAUAGGACCUUGGUUCUAUUUUGUUGGCUUCUAGGACUAAGGUAAUGAUUAAUAGGGACAGUUGGGGGCAUUCGUAUUUAACUGUCAGAGGUGA
rnacentral:rRNA from 1 species